GCACAUCUUCAUCCAUGCGCUGUGAGCUGAAAGCCCGAGUCUGCAUUCAACAAUUACACAUUUCUACAGAGCUUUGCUGCCAGACAACAUGCCACAGUGGAGUGACUGCAAUUAGAAGUGGCAAAGAGAAUUCUGGACUAGACAAGAUGGCUGGUACCUAACAGUGCAACACUGAGUUUUGAAAAUUGUAACAUCUGCCUGACUGACAAGAAUCUGGAGCUGCCUAGAGCUAACAUCUGAAACACUGGAGCUGCAACUUCUGAAGUAACUGUGUCUUUUGGCAAGGCCUGUAGAGUAUGAAGAGCGCUGGAAACAGAGAGCCUAAUUAUAACAUAAGCAAAAGAAAAUAAAGUUAACUCCAAAAAUCCCAAAAGCAAUAAACAGCUGACAAGAAGAGCCAUAGACCCAGCAACAAGAAAAUAUGCAGCAAUCUUCAGGCAUUCUGAG